UACGUAGGGUGCGAGCGUUAAUCGGAAUUACUGGGCGUAAAGUGUGCGCAGGCGGCCGCGCAAGUCGAGUGUGAAAGCCCCGAGCUUAACUUGGGAAUUGCGCUCGAAACUACGUGGCUGGAGUGUGGCAGAGGAGGGUGGAAUUCCACGUGUAGCGGUGAAAUGCGUAGAGAUGUGGAGGAACACCAAUGGCGAAGGCAGCCUUCUGGGCCAACACUGACGCUCAUGCACGAAAGCGUGGGGAGCAAACAGG
rnacentral:rRNA from 1 species